GAAAAAACCCUAUUUUUUGUUUGAAAUUCAGUCCGCACUCCUUUGUUCCACCCCUCGACCCCGGCUGCAUCUGGCGACGCCGCCACCUCGCCGCCAGCCCGCGUCAUCCGCCGCCCCUUGCCGGCACGCGCUCUCCCCGUCCGCCUCCGGCCUCCAUCAUCUCCGCACCGGCGACCUCCCCUUGCCUCCUCCUCCUUCCCUUCUCUUCCACCUAGAUUGAGAAGGGAAGCCAUGGCGCUCCCGCAGCGGCUAGAUCCAGACCAAACCCGUGGGGUUCCAGCUCGACCUCCUCGCAGCGACCAUGGAGGCGGAAUCCGCGGAUCCCACGACCACGGUGGUGCGAGCCCCCCCUCCCGCGCACUCCUUCCCUUCCACUCUGUUCCAUUGAUGCAAAAUUUUCUCUUUUUUUCAUGAUUGACCACUCGCAAUGGAGUUGGAAGCAGGAGGGAUGUGGGUCAGGCAUCUACAUGUGCUGCUGAAUUCGAUUGAUGGUUCUUGAUUGUUGAGUAAUUCCUGUUAGUUGUUAUAUGUGCUGCUGAAUUCUCCAUUAGGGACUUGAUUCAUGUUGGUUGCUGACUUCAUUGUUGAUUGUUGAUUGUCGAGAGAAAAUCCAGGAGAGCGGUUGAUGCUAGCGCUGGCGAUGCGUCAUCUCCCGCCCACGCAGCCUCCCCACUAUGCCUCCACACCCAGAUUCGAGUCCUCUCGGUCUCCCUCCCCCAUCUGUGGUCGGCAACGACAGUCAUAAUGAUAGCGAAGUGGUGCGACCAGGGGAUGGCGCACAUACGUUGUUGCCGUCGGCUGGCCUAUGCUCGCGUUCAGGAAUGAUGCGUGUUUGCUUUACUGUAGGUGCUUUGGCGCUCUGUAUUAGCUUGUUGUAGAUGCUCUGCUUCCUCUGUUUUCUGCUUUGUCGUGUAUCAAUUGGGUGGUUUGUAGCUGCUGAUGUAAUCCAAGAUGAAGCAGGCAUACAUGUGGACGCUGCUUCUCGCUUGUCUAGCUGCAACUGAUCGCUGGACAAUCACUUAGGGCAGUAUCAUUGCCAUAUAAUUAUUGCAGAGUUGUGUAAGUUUGAUUCAUGAAUGAUAGGACCAAGGAAGGAUAAAUGAAAUGCUUUGCAGUUCAAAAGAGAGUUAACAAUGAUUUAACGACGUUGGAUGGCUGCAUGUGCUCCUAAAGAAGAGGUCGGCUGCUAACAGGUUCCAGGUGGCCGGGAUUGAGGAAAUUAUAUCAGGAAACGAUUUUACAAGGAUGCAUCCCUUUUUACAUGGGGAAGCAGAUAACAGUAAUGAACCAAGCAAGAUGACUAUGGUGCGUGACCUCAAGCUGUGAUAAGACAGAAACUGGAUCUUCUGUGCCCGUUGAAGAUGAGAUGGACGAAGUUACUGAUGAAGCAAUUGGUGCAAAGCUCAAUAUUUUAUAUACACAGAAAAGGGCAGUUUCUUCAGAACUUGCCACUGCUCAUGCAUGUGAAAAGAACAUAGCUGAUAAAAACAAGUCUCUUAAGCACAAGGUAAGGAUGUCAUUCUCGGAGAAGCAGAGAUUGUUGUAACAACACUCAGUGGGUGUGGAGGUGAUAUUUACGGAGUUUGCUCGGAAACUGCUUCAACUAAGAAAUAUGGGAAUUUCUCUGAGCAAACUUUGUUUGAUGUUUUUGUUAUCGAUUUAAGCUGCACAGGCUCUUGAGCAUGCAACUUUGAUUCCACUUCAGCUACUCAAGUCAAAAGGAACUAAGUGCAUAAUGGAUCGAAUGCAUCCUUACAUUAGCAGAUUCCCGUCGUUGCAUUUCUAUGAAAACAAACUGCUGGAUGGUGCUCAGAAGGCUGAGAAAUCAGAUCCUUUCCAUGAUCACCGUUGUCUUGGUCCAUACAUGUUCUUUGAUAUUGCCGAUGGUCGUGAGCAUGCUGGAACAAGUGCUGCUGCACAAUCACUCUCUAAUCAACUUGAAGCUGGUGCAGCACUUGAAAUACUGUCAUUUUUAAAGAACAAAUAUCCAACAAAUUUCUCCUGUAGAAAGAUAGGGACCAUAACUUAUGGCUAUGUUGUGGAAGAGUUCUUGCGGGUAGCAUCUUUCCAUUGUCUGUAAAUUGAUGUAUAAAGCGGGCAUUCCAUUCUUUAAAAAUUGAUAGAUAAAAUGGAUGCAGGUGUGAGCUUGAGGAAGAAGGAGACGGCAAGUGAAAGACCGAGAAGACCAGGAAUUAUUCUUUGCUGGCCAUAAGGUGGAGGCGCUGCUUAGGGAACAUGUGCGGACAUCCUUGCUCCUUUUAUUCUUCCAGUUUUAGGUACUCUCCAACAGGCUUGUACGGAGUACCUAUCUUGCUAUGUACUGAAUUAUUUGCAACUAUGUAGCAAACUGUAUUAGGAGAUCUAGAUAUAUAAUGCGUGUGUGUAUGAAUUAAUUAUUACCAUCACCUAGCUAGCUUGUUACCUGAAAGAUCGAGGCGAACUUUUAUUGUAUGGAUGCUGUGUCGCUGGUUUUCUGUGAUGUUUCAGGGACACAUUGUUUUUCA